rnacentral:rRNA from 1 species
AUUGAACGCUGGCGGCGUGCCUAACACAUGCAAGUCGAGCGGUAACAGGUGUAGCAAUACAUGCUGACGAGCGGCGGACGGGUGAGUAACGCUUGGGAAUCUGCCUAUUAGUGGGGGACAACCCGGGGAAACUCGGGCUAAUACCGCAUACGCACUACGGUGGAAAGCCGGGGACCGCAAGGCCUGGCGCUAACAGAUGAGCCCAAGUCGGAUUAGCUAGUUGGUAGGGUAACGCCACCAAGGCGACGAUCCGUAACUGGUCUGAGAGGACGACCAGUCACACCGGAACUGAGACACGGUCCGGACUCCUACGGGAGGCAGCAGUGGGGAAUAUUGGACAAUGGCGAAAGCCUGAUCCAGCGACGCCGCGUGGGUGAAGAAGGCCUGCGGGUUGUAAAGCCC